UACGUAGGGUGCAAGCGUUAAUCGGAAUACUGGGCGUAAAGCGUGCGCAGGCGGUGAUGUAAGACAGGUGUGAAAUCCCCGGGCUUAACCUGGGAACUGCAUUUGUGACUGCAUCGCUGGAGUGCGGCAGAGGGGGAUGGAAUUCCGCGUGUAGCAGUGAAAUGCGUAGAGAUGUGGAGGAACACCGAUGGCGAAGGCAGCCCCCUGGGCCAAUACUGACGCCUCAUGCACGAAAGCGUGGGGAGCAAACAGG
rnacentral:rRNA from 1 species